CCUACGGGAGGCAGCAGUGAGGAAUAUUGGUCAAUGGACGAGAGUCUGAACCAGCCAAGUCGCGUGAAGGAUGACUGCCCUAUGGGUUGUAAACUUCUUUUAUAUGGGAAUAAAAUGUUCCACGUGUGGGAUUUUGUAUGUACCAUAUGAAUAAGGAUCGGCUAACUCCGUGCCAGCAGCCGCAGUAAUACGGAGGAUCCGAGCGUUAUCCGGAUUUAUUGGGUGUAAAGGGAGCGUAGGUGGAUUGUUAAGUCAGUUGUGAAAGUUUGCGGCUCAACCGUAAAAUUGCAGUUGAAACUGGCAGUCUUGAGUACAGUAGAGGUGGGCGGAAUUCGGGGUGUAGCGGUGAAAUGCUUAGAUAUCACGAAGAACUCCGAUUGCGAAGGCAGCUCACUGGACUGCAACUGACACUGAGGCGCGAAAGUGUGGGUAGCAAACAGGAUUAGAUACCCUUGUAGUC
rnacentral:rRNA from 1 species